rnacentral:rRNA from 1 species
ACGCCUUCCUAGUAAUAACUUAGUUUUAGGUAAGUGAGUGAGUCUCUCCUACCAUGGACAUACUACACGAUAGGGUGCGACAACCCUCUCGGUAACGUUACAUUACUGUACAUAAGAUUUAAACAUAGCGCAUGAGUGAAAUGAUACAAUCAGCGCACAGCGGUCGGUAGCCGACGAAAACUGUUGUUAAAAUGGUUAAACACGAUAACUCUAAUUUUGUUUUAUUCUGAGUUACACCUCCGAGUGAAUCAGGAAUUUAGCUACUUUUUGUAUCAUUAGACACCUAUUACUACACUCAACACUUUAACACACUCGUAACACAGAAACCUACUUUUACAGUCGUACCUACGUACGCACAGAUACGACGUGAACAAAGUCAUAUAUAGUGACAUGUAAACAGCAAUGAUAUGCGAACUUCCGUUAUCAUAUGUGACGAGCGCUAGUGUUCACACUAUAGCUAGAACCCAAAUAUACUGCACAUAGACUAUAGUUCACACUGCUGGCGAUUGA